ensembl:lncRNA
UAAAAUCUCUUGGUAAAUCAUACAUCAUGAUACGUGGAGUUCAUGUAACACUGUGUAGUAUCAGGCUGAUGUAGGGGUGCAAAAGUCACCAGCUAAGACCCAGGGGCAGUUUCUCCAGCCACAGGAUUCGUGAGUAUUCUUUACUACUCAGUGGGGUUUCUUUGCAGUCCAAAGCUCCUCUUCAAGCUGUACUUUUUGGGGUGCACUCUUUUAAGGGAUGAAUGCAGGUACAAAGUGUGUCUGAUGAUGCAGACAUACGUAAAGAGGACUAUUGCAUUAAAAUUCACUGAAGAGCGUACAGUCUAACUCUGACUGUAACUGGCAGGCCUCCCUUUAUUUCUCCUCAACAGACACUUUUGUUGAUGUCCCUCUCUGAGGCCAAGAAAACUGAUAGAGAAUCAAAGGAGAUGAGUGAAGUACUGGAACAGGAAAAGAAAUGGUGUCUAUGAAGAAGGUAGCUCACUGCUGAGUGUAACACUGGGCUGACAGUUUCUGGUGUUCUCCAAAGGUGGUCUCAGGAGGAGGGGAAGAGGGGGACUAGUAUUAGACAUGGAGGUUGGUGGCCCUGCAUGUGGCAGGAGGGUUGGAGCUUUAUGAUCCUUGAGGUCCCUUCCAACACAAGCCAUUCUUUUAUUCUAUGAUAAGGAAUGGAAGCAGGAUAUCAGAACCAUUUUAAGUUCUUGAGGCCGCCGACUCUGUCUCUGUGAAGACUCUCCUGUGACAAAGGCAGGCAGUGUGGUCAUCAGCAGUAAUGGGAAAUCACUGGGGAGUAGAGGAUGAAGCCUUGCUUACACAGAGUAGAGUCAUUGACCUUCAAAACAGUCUGAAAAUUAUUUUUUCUCAGAUCCUAGAGAAUGAUUAAAGGAGGUAAGGAAGUCCUUCAUGGGGAAAGGGAGAAAAGAACCUAAGUUUACAUCUAAUGGGGCACUUGGGAAGUAUGGAAGUUUUUCUAAUUUAAGUCUGAAUUUGGAUGACAACUUCAGCCAAAAAAAAUGACAAGAGAAAGACAUCUGUGUGGAGAGGCAUUGUCAUCUAUCAGAGCAAUGGAUACAGCAGGAAAGAAAGAAGAGGCAAGGCUCUUCUACCUGGAAUUUUGUCUACUGUUUUCCAACCCUACUGACUGGCCUAUCAUUUGAUCCCCAUGGCCACAGUUCCAGAGAACCUCACAACAACUGAAUAUUUUAUGGUUGAAUGAUGGAUGAAUACGGAUGCCACAGUUACAAACUUUCCCAUCACACUUCUGAUGAAGAACAGAGGGGUUUGCAGCAAUCACACACCACUAAAGAUUCAAAACAUUUGGACUGAGGAAUGUUUUGGACAAAGGAAAGUUUAUUAAGGCUGGACAAGUAUGUUUUAAAGUUUUGGAAGCGUCUUGCCUUUAUAAAUAAAACUGCCGUUAGCCAUUAGAUAGGGUCUGGACACUGGAGUAACUCAUGUUCUCCAUCUGCCCCUGAGGCUUUCUUUUCCUUUUCCAGUGAAUUUUAUCUUUAAACAUUUUUAACGCAUGAAAUACACUUCAGUAUAUUUCACUGGGCAGUGAAAUUCAACCUACCCUAAAGUCUGGAAGGCAAAUAUAUUUGUAACCAGUUCAUUCUCUGAAGUACUUCUUUCUGCAUGUGUUUUCUUUUUUCUUUGUUUGUUUUCUAGCUUGUUACUAAAAUGAAUAUGUGCUUCUUAAUUACAGGUUUAUUUUCUGAUUUAAUUGCUGUUGUUUGGGCAAUAUUUCUCUGAAUGUACACCUACUACUGAGGUGUCUUUGUAAUGGAAUAGCCAUAUUUUACUACAGUAAAAUCUGUCUCUUAUUUCAGCUUCAUGGUAACUUGAGUAAAUCUUAGAUAAGACGAGGCUUUUUAUUUUUUUUCAUCACUUUCUUUGCUAAUGCUCUUAAAACAGUGUCUGAAGUGGAAUUUGGAAGUUUCGUAUUGCACUGUUUCUUAAAGAAAACUAUUGCUCUGCUUGCCAUCCUAGCAGCAAGCUCUGAUAAAUGUCCCUCCAUUUGUACUGUACAGUGUUAAUGUAAUUCUUCUUCCUGUAACUGGCUCUGAGCAGGCUGUGCUACAGCAAAUAAGUUCCUUGGGUUACCCCGGUGCCUCCAUCAACCACCAGAGCUGGGAGACCACUGAAUAGGACUGGCAGCUCUGUGUGCUCUCCUGCAGCACAGUCAAGUUUAUACUUUACCACUCAGACUGUGGCACAUACAGAGCAGCCAUUACCACUUAACAUAUACUGUUUAAACUCUGUUGAAGUUUAUUCCUACACUGAGAAACCUCCUCAGCACCUCUUUUCACAUUUUGAGACAUCCUUGAUUUAGACAGAAUUGAUUUGAGCUCCCUCAUCAUGAAACAAUGUUGAAAUGAAAAAUAACAGAUGCAAGGCAGAGACACUGGAAUGAAGGACCUUCCACUACUUUAUCUGUAUGACAAGAGAACUUAAGGCAUUAACAAAAAUAAUACUGUUGUUCUUUUUUUGUUGUUCUCCAGGCAAUUUUUUUUCUACUCUUUGUUUACUUGCUAUGAAUCAUCUCCUCUUAAGAAUUCAUUGUGCAGAUUUAUAUAAGGAGACAAAGAACUGUUUAAUCAUCUGGUCUACCCUGUUCAGAGUGCAAACCUGGCACUAUACCAGCAGGAGUGCCAGUGUCUCAGUGAAAGGCAAAGCAGCAACAUCCCCUGGUAGUUCUUGCUCCAGGAGUUGAGGUCACAACUAUACAGUGUAGGAGGGCAGCCUGCUCCUCACCACCUCUGCUUCACUGGGACCACAUCCAGGUGCCUUUGGAAGAUCUUCAAGGAGGUGACUCCUAAUAAACUAUUAUUCUCUUCUGUAAGGAAGAACAUUCAUUUUUAAUUCUUCACUUCAUCCCCAGAGAACUAGGGUGCAAUGAAAAACUCUCCUUUAACAUGUCCAAGUGAAGGGCCAGGCUCCAUGCCAGUUACAAAUUCCCUAUUCCAGGCGAUUAACAACUGACAGUUGAGCUGUUAAUGUCGAAAGUAGCCUGAUCCUCACUUAUCAUCUGCAUCAUGAAGAAAAUGCCACUUGUGAAGGGUUUCUGAAGAAGCUGCUAAAUGAAGGUGACAGACUGCUAAAUGAAGGUGAAGUUUCCUUGUGUGUGCAUGUAGUUAACAGCACUUAUUUUUAUUUCCAUAAACUCUGACACACAGUUUAAGUCAUGUUCAACCCAAUUCCUUCCCAGCACAAACUCAAGUCCACACUUGUGUUUGUGUCUUGUUCACCAAGUCUGCCAUCCCAGCCAGAAGGUUCAAGAAAACCUUCAUUUUAAUGCUCUUCAGUUCCACAUCUGUUUCCCAUCAAAUUUUUUUUAGAUUUCCCUAAUGCCUUUUUUUAAAAAAAACUGGUCUCAGCCUGAUCCUAUGGAGAAGAGGAAAGAGAAUUUGCCUAACUUCCUGUGUAACAGUGGAGGCACGAAGAAAGGAAGAAGAAAUAGAAUUUACAUAAGGCAAUCAUUGAUUAAAAAUCCAAGUACAAGGUAUGAUUGAUUGCAUCUCCUGCUUCUGUUAUUUUUGAAGCAUUAAGGACAUGAAUAGCUCAAUGGGUGACAAGAAAAGUGUCAGGUUGUUAAAAAAGUUGCAGACUCAUGCCUUUAGAUCUAAAAAUUAUCGAGCUGCAGCUCAAAGGUGAAAAACUUACCCUCAGGCGAGGAGGGUGUGACUCAUCAUCUCAACAUAAAAUGUACAUAACAGACUUCUGAAUAAAUUUGGUCUUGAUAAGAUCUGUGAAGGCCAAGUUGAAGUGACUGGAGAUGAAUACAAUGUGAAAAGUGUGGAUGGAAAGCCUGGUGCUUUCACAUGUUACCUUGAUGCAGAUCUUGCCAGAACUACUACUGGAAACAAAGUCUUUGUGUGAAAUAAUCAGAUGCUAUGUAUGGGAAAAGGACCACAACAGCUGUGACACAUUUUUACUCUUUUCAUUUGCACACUUGGUCCAGAUUUGGCCUCUCUUACUCAAUUUAAAUAGUUCCUCACCAUGUAGUCAUGAAUGCAAAUAGGACUGUAUGGAAACUGAUGUGCUACCACUGCAAGGCAAGAUAAUCUGAAGACAUUGUUUUGUUUAAACUUUCUCUGUACAUAUACUCAUAAAUAUGAAAUAAAAUACUCAAUACAAACGUAAAAGGAUGUUUGUGUAUGUGUGUAGAGGUUUUUUUAACCAAAGAUCAAGAUAUGCUGAACUUCAAAAGGUUAUUUUGGGCCAGGUAAAACUUCAGAGUUUUGUUUCUCCCUGGAAAAGUCAAUAUGGUUUCUGCUCUGCUGUGAUCAAGACUAUUUACUUGACAGUUUAGAAUAAACCUAGAAUCAAUAUCUUUAUCGUGUCAUGUGGAAAUGUAUAUAUGUGUCAGAUAAAACCUUGCAGUUAUAGCAGCAAGAGAGACAUAAAUUUAGUGCUUUGAACUUUUCAGAAUUGGUUUUAGGAAUAAUGUAUUUUAUAUGGCAGAGACGCUACCAGUAAGAGGGAGUCUCAACUAAUGGAAAAUGAUUGAGGAGUCAAAAUGGUACCUCUCUUAAAUCACAAAAGAAGUGAUUAUCGUGUCUCUUCCAGAUGCAGUUUUAAUGAGACGUGAAUAGCAGUUGAGUAGGGGGUGUUGAUUUUUAAACAUACAGCAAUUAUCAGUCUCACUAGCAGUAAUCAUCUAAUAUUCCUUAAAGUAAGUCGCAAUUGUAUGUAUCUGAUCUUGCAUUCAAUCAGACUAAAAUAAGACUAACUCGUGAUUACUGUAUACACUUAGCUCUCAUUUUGAAUGACUACUUUUUAAUUCUAGAACAACUCCUAAGAGAACAGUAACAUUUUGACAAUAUCACAUAUUCCCAAAGAUAUGAAUUACCCAAGGGUAACAAAAUGUAAAGGUCAACUUUCUGUUUCACUGUGAAUUAAAUUUUGAGCUGUAACCAAUUAGCAUUUAGGUUUUUUUCUGGCUGAUUCUGAGUCUUGUAAGCCACUACUACCUCAGGGGGAACUAUUAAAAAAAAAAAAAAGAAAUCACUUCCAAAAGGUGCACACGGAUUUUCCAAUUGUCAGGGAUUUUUUUUUUUUUUUUAACAUCCAAUUGUCAGUCAGAAUUUGUCAGGGAAGGAAAGAGUGGCGCUAAGUACUUUGCAUGUGUCUCUGCUUUGCAGUUUGAUGCUCUCUGCAGCAAAAAACAAGUUAAUUCCUGGAUCAUGGAGUACUUCCCGGUGACUUGCUGGCAAACCCUAGAUGGUGGGUUUCAUCUCAGCUACCUCUAUAUGCUCUGAUGAGUGGAGCAGAAGGGCAAAAUCCCUAAAAGCCAGGUAGCCUCCAAAAGCUCUAGGGAGCAGAGGAGCCUGAGACUGAGGCGUGCCCAGGUACCUUCUGGCAUAGCAGAAGAGAAAUGAGUGAGUUUGAAACACAGUUGUUUAGUUUGUGCUGUGUUGCAGCUUUUUAGGACCAUCUUGGUCAAACAGGAAAAUACUGAAAUGUGAAUUCUCUCUUUGCAAAAACGUUUCCAGCUUUGUAUUGCAAAGCCUAGAGAAUGAGGAGCAGAAGAAUUCGCAUACUCAAGAUUCAAGUAAAGAGCACAGGAAAUGUCUAUGAAGGAAAAAGCAGUGGAAGAAGAGAACAACAGCAUCAAAAAUAACUCUAUGCAUCGAACCUAAUCCUGUGCACCUGCUACUGCGUCACUGAAGAGACUGAGUGUAGCCUGCAGUGAUAACAAGGUGGGAGAGACGUUAGGAGUGAAUUACAGAUAACUCUGUCUACAUGUAGAAUGUUGUCUCUAUUUUUCUUCCCUGGAAAUCUUCCCAAAUAAAAGAAUCUGAUCACAUCUCAAAGGGAAGCUCCUGCAGAAAGCAGUGCUAUUUCCUCUGAAUAGAACAUCCUGGGGCAUGCAGGCAAUACCAACUAUCAUUUUGUAUUUGUAUUUCUUGACUGUUAUUCCUGUGGUGCUAUUUAAGGUGUUGACUGUGGUCAUAAAGAGAACUCAAAUUAGGUUGCAUGAUCAAGCUGGAAAAAUUAUCCUAGGCUUGCUGGGAAAGUCUGUGCAUAUGGCUGGAUAUGCACACACCAAGAUAGUGAAAGGAAUUAGGCUUCUGUAGGUUUUUAUCUAGAUGAAUUCCACUUGAAUGGAUUUAAUGCUGACUCUGCUUAGUUGGAUUGUCUCUUGAGUACUACUGAGUCUGAAGUAUAUAAAUGGUGUCCUCUCGCUUAUACUGACACAAGAAAAUCAAGAUGAAUGCAGGAAAAUUAAAUUUCAGUGAUAUAUGUGAAGACUUAAGAAAUCAAAUUGGGAAAACUGGCAAUUAUUCUGCUAUACAAAAGAAGAAUUAAUUCCAAAUUUAAAUUUUUUUAGGUCAUGUUGUAUUUCAUCCUUCCUCAGACAAUGAUUUUUUAUCUUAGAAGACAUCCUUCAGAUAACAGUGCUUUCUCUUACUGUAGAAAUAGCAUUUUCCCAAACUGUUUGUUCCAAAUUUGUCUUUCAUUUCUCUAACUCAAGGAUAGAGACUGUGUCUCUUUUGAAAUUGUUAUUUCUGUCCAUAUAUCAUCAUGCAAAUACUUCUCAGAAUAAAAUUAAAUGGAUAAUUUAAAUGCAGUCUACUUAAGCAAGACAUUGUGUUUCUCUCCAAAUGAACAUUACACUGCAAUAACAUGGGCAGUAAAACUAUAAUUUCUAAUUAAUUCCUAAAUGUCAACUAUCCUUUGGAAAACUAAUGAAAAAUCUAAUUGUUCAAGGAUAACCUAGACAAAACUUAAAGAAAAAAUGUUUCUAUGGUAUCUAAGACCUAAACUUUAUUAAAAUGGAUUAUUUAAGGUAUUUAAAUACAUGAGAAAUAACUGGACAGGUGUCAAAAUAGCUGAGUUAUACUCAAAGGUUUGAAACAAAGUAUUUGAAAAUUAAAUUGAAGCGUGUCAUUGUUUACAAAAUUCAUUUUAGACAUUACACUCCUCCAUGUUUUGACUAAGUUCCCUCUCUUUCUUCCAAACACAGAUUUCUCCCCAGCACCCUCAUUUAGAAGAACUGAGGUAUCCCUGAUUUUACAGUGGUAGUAUGAAUGAGCUAAUUCACGACAUCACACGGUAAUGAAUGUUUGGAGUUUGAAAGAGAGCCUCAGCAGCAUUACUAGGGACUGACUUUGUGAAAACUUUUAUUAUUUAAAUAUCUGAAAGACCAUCAAAUGGUCUAACAAGAGGAUAUACAAACCUCAGCUAAGACUCAGAUGUACUUUGCAUGUGAGCUUUGCCCUUUUAUAUCAGUUCUCCUAUAAAUGAUUCUUAUUCUAAUGGGAGUGUGCAAGUUUUGGUCUAAUAUCUCAAAUCUGCACUAAAGUCCUCCAAUUUCUAAUGAAUGUGCUCAGCUACUCGAAAUUCUGUGGUGAUAAAAGAGUGCACCUUUUCCACUCAAGUACCCUUUUCGCUGUAACAAGAUGUGAGAAAAACCUCUUGACCUAUACAAAGAAAAUUGGACCGAUAAAUGUUGAAUAGAGGCGUACUGAAAGUUCAUGAGGAGACAGGCAUCCUUCAAUUCUUAGCAAUGAUUACUCUGAAACUUCUAUGAAGUUUAUAAUGUAGAUGUGGGAUAAAAAUGAGAUAAAUGAUUGGCAUAUGCAUUUUUUUUUUCUUUCUUUCUUAUUUCAUAGCUCUCCCUAAGCCCGUGCAAAUUUAGGAGCAUGGCACUGUUUUUGUAUAAGUCAUAAAAGAACAUAGACAUUAUGUAAAUAGUUUCAGUGGAGAAAUGAAGUGGAAAAACUCAUUUUACAAUAGAAAGAAUAAAUGGAAUUACUUACCAUUUGAUGGGGCUGAAAACCACUGAGCUUUAGAGAAGUCUGAUCAUUUCUGUAAGCACUUACAUGUAAUAAGGAAUAAUGAAUUUUAGCUUGUGUCUUCCUAGACACAGCAUCCCACCUCAAAGAGGAAGAGGGGAAAAGGUGGAUCAAACUUCUUAUCUCUGUAACACAUAUAAAACCAAAGAAAACAGUACACUACAGUGGAACCUUUCUGUAUUUGUACCAGAGUAAUUGGGAACAGAGCCCUGAUUCCAGUAGUAAUUUAAGUUUUUGUGUGCUACCCACUGAACUCUUUAUGAAGCUCUUGUGCCUCAGGAAAAAUCUGCUCUUCUCCCAUUGAAGCUACAGUGAUAUUGGAUGACUUUAACUAGGACAAGGGGCUGGCUUGAGGGGCUGGCCAAGGCACCAACAGUAGCUGUAAUGCCAUUGCCUUGGGGCGGCUUCUAACUCAGCUGAAAGCAGUGUCAGUCAGCUCCAGAUGAGCAUUUCUACUCUGUGAUUUUGCAGCCUUGGAAUCCACCACCCACACUGGUGACAGUGAAAUUGAUAUGAAAGGCAACCUAUUUUCCAUUUUCAAAGGUAACCAUUAUGUCCUGGCCUUGAUCCAGUUGUAUUUGACUUUGAGCACAUCAGCUUAACUACAAUGAAAAUAUCAAGCCAUUAUUUAGGAAAACAUAAUCUCAUGUGAAGUUAUCCACAAACAUUCCAAGGUGCAGUUUAAUGUAUUUAUGCAUAAGUAAAUGUUGGAACAAUUUUAAAUUUAAAAAAAAAAAAGUGAAUUAUCAGAAACAAGAUGACAAAAGAAGGAAUACUGAAGGCAGCACAACUGAGACUGCAGAACAGUUUGAUCUUCAGGGACUGAUUCUGCCUCAGUUUCAUGGCUCUGGCUAUUUUAACAUUAGCUAUGAAAUAACAUUACAAAAACAUAAUUAUGUUGUAAUUAUUUAGUGUUCUAUGGAAUUAAGCUAGUGAUAAUGAACACAAGAACACUAAUGUGGUCAAUUGUCCAUUUUUUACAAGUUUGUCACAAUAGUACAGAUACUUAACUUGAUUUGCAUGUAAUUUUAGAAAGGAAAUAUGUGUAUUAAAAAUGUAAUAUGAAUGACUUCUUUAUGCAGAUAGUUCCAUCAGAUUUAUCUUCUAGGAUUCCAGUUGGUAUGUUUCAAUAAUUUAGCAUCUAUUCAUUUUACUCAUUGUACUGGGAUUUUGUUAACCUUUUUUAAUUAGUAUUAAAGAGACUCAGUAGGAAUAUUCAUUGCCCACAGGUAAAAAUAUUCUCAUCAUUCGGUAGAAUGGCUAUUUUUAUAAUGUUCCUACUUUUAAGGUGCAAUUAUGUUACAAAUCCUUUGGAAUGCACAAAGAUAUUUAAAAGCAAGCACCUAUAAUUAUUCCAUAAACUAAUCUGUUAGCUCAUUCAAAAAUUAGACAUUAACAAAGAAAAAUGGAGGAGGGAAGGGAGCAAGAAGAAGGGAAGAAAGAAGGAAGGAAAUAAGGUUGAAACAUAACCAUUUCUGCCACCUUCACUUGCAGUGAAGGCUUGCAAACAUUAUUAAAAGCCAUGUCUGAAAUCUCUACCAUCUUCAGUUGCAGAAACAAAAUCAAUCCUUGAAUUAAGAACUAUGAAAAAUAAAUAGUAAAAGAAGAAAAGCCACUUGGAGAAUGGCAGAAUAUGUUACAGGACAGAUUGGUCCAUGUGAUACAUCUUUUCACUGAUAACUUUUCAAAAUGCACUUAAAUCUUAUUUACCUUCAUUCUCUAUUGUUCCUCACACAAAAACAAUCAUUUCAUGGUAUGUGGCUGGUAUCUAGCUGUAGAACUAACAAGCAAUGAGAACAAUUGCUGUUACGAAGAAUAAGUGCCUACUUUGAAUUUUAUACUUAAAAAAAGAAACGUGAAAAAUAGCAUAUAAUAAAAAUUAAUGUCAGACAGACCUGCUCCGCUAACCUUGCAUGGUCUUUUUAAUUACUCUGCAGAAUUUUAAUAUGCUCCACUCACUGGAGAGGAAGGGAAUUUGUGUAUUAGUUUUCCUGACCUACAUUUGCACUCAUUUUGCUUAGCAGAAGGAAGUCAAGGAGGUGGGACACAUAAUAAGGAAGGGUUAUCAGGAUAUGAACUACUGAGUAAAACACAAGAUGUUCGGGUUCUCAAAAGUGAUUGAGAAGUUUCAUGACUUAUCCAAGAAAUCAGGAAUCAGUCACAGUAAUCGUACCAACACUUGUAACACACCCUAGAGAUUUGAGACAGUUUAGUUGUUGAAAACAGAAUUUAGCAACGUGAAAGAGAUGAAGGGGCCAGUUCAUGUUUAUGCUGGCUUCUCCCUUGUUUAGUUGGCCCAUUGACUUCAGUAGAGUUAUUUUGAGAUGUGAGUUCCUUUUAUGUCUGUUAGGAAAAUCGGGGGAAGCAGAAUGUUCUUUACUUUAACCCUGUUCUUAAAGAGAACAGCCAGUGAUUAAGCUCAUGUUGUGAAUCUUUUCCUCACACUAGGGAUAGUGUCCAUGGACAGUCUGACUCAUACCAGCUGCGCACAAACCUUCCCACCCCAGAAACGGCUUAUUAUUGCCCAGCAGACCUAUGGAAAAUCCUAGAAUUUCUGAAAACUAGUUCUGUAUGUAAAAUAAAUACAAUUAAUUUUUAAUUUAGUGAAAGAUCACUACUGCACAGUGGAGGUCAGAAAUCUUCUUUUGUUCAGCAAAAAUUCACUCCUUUAUCUAUUGACCCCCAAGAUCCUUUGCCUCUUAGGAGGAAUAAAAAUAGAACUGAUGAAACACAACAUAACUUGAAUUAUGCAUCAGAGUUGCGACCUAGUGAAGAAAGCAAAGGAUGUUCUUGAUUUUAAGUCUCCUGAGAGCUUUCGUGGUGUCAUAUCAACCAGUCACUUUUAGCAAUCCAUUGCCAAUGCAUAUCUACAUGGAAAUGAUGCACAAAUUAGAUUUGAAUGUGAAGAUUUGACGUGAAGAUUUCCUCAUACUACAUUGGAAAGGUAAAGGAGCUUAAGGAUGGUUUGGCUGCUACAUAUAUCCAUGCUAAAACCCCUUAGAAACUAGAUCUUUUUCUGGGAAGUGGCACCCUGCAUCCAGUUCCCUGAGGUGCUGAGCACUUCCUGAAAGCAGCAGGAAUUGGACAUACUGACUGUUUUACAGGAUCAGAUUUUACCUCAAGUUAAAACUACCAGGUUUGCACAAAUCCUAUAGGCGAUUCAGCUAUGCCCAGAGAUAAUCAGGUACUCUGAGAUUAAAAUACUGAGAGCUAUCUUCUGUUCCCUGGGGAUGGUGUCUAAUAUAUGUUAAAUCCAAUCAGUGCCUCUUAGCUUUCUUCCCUGUCACAGAGUUUCAGUUUACUAAUUAGAAAUGUUCAGCUGCAAUUCCUUUGCAUCACUUUCUCGCCGGGUAGGAUUCAGCACCCUCUGAGAAUUUAAAAAGGUUACACCACCAUUUGUCAAGGUCACAGCAAGAAAGGUUUUUCAUUAAUUUUAGAUUGGCAAAGAAUAAGAAAUAUUGUAAUUGCUGCAUUUAAGCCAUUCACUGCACCAUCUCUCUUUCUACUUCACAGACAACCAAUUAGGGGCUUUAUUUAAAAUGUAUGAAUUGCAUGACUGUCAUUAAAGCUACAAUUCUAAAGAGUUCAUUUGCUUUCUUUAAUGGAAGUAUUACAGAAACUCAGGUAUUUUUCAGGACAAUGACCCAAUCACUCAACAUUUGGUAAAUAAAAAUGGCUCUGUAGGCCUGACCACAGGUGGAGUUUCCAUUAACAUGAGUGCUGAGAGGGCCUGGUUCUGUGAGGUGCUGACAGGCCACCGUGCCAGCCUUGACCAUCUGCAUCCUCAGUGUGACAGCAAGGCCAGGAAAAAACAACAUGAAAUGAAGUGCUCAACAUUUGUGAAAACUAUACAGAACUGCCUCCAAGGCCUGUUGCUGGUUACUGAAGCACAACUAUGACAUAUUUUCAGCAAAGCGAGAGCCAUUAGUGGACCCAAGGGCUCAGCCAAAUGUGCUUUCAGCAUUCUCCAACAUCCUACUAGCUUUCCUGAGUGAUUAUCUUUCUCAUGGCCAACAGCUACACCUUGCAUCUUCUUUCUUUUUUUUGCCACAUAUUGGAAAUGAGAUAUGGCUCUAUUCCCUUCUUUUUGUGUGUGUGUGUGUAUGUGAAAGGACAUAGAAGUAAGCAUCUUCUCUAUUUUAGAAGCAACACAUUUACAGCAAAGUGUUAGACUUGGUGGUCUGAGAUUAUAUUUUUUAGUAUGUUUUUUAACAGGUGUGCUUCAUCAUUAAGUGCAUCUUUCAACCAGGAGGAUUCCUGCAGACUGUAAGGGCAUGGGAAUUGUAUGACUUCACAUUGGGAAUACAAAUUCUUGUCUUGAUUUGCUAGAAGGGAUUUGCUUUUUCAUGUGGUACUGCACUACUCCAAAAGCUUUCACUGGGACGUAAACAACUAACUAUCAUUUUAAUUCCUUAUAGAAAAUAUUUUGGCCUAUGUUUUUGUUUUCUUUUUAAUACCAACAAGAAAAAAUCUUUGUCCCAACUAUACCAUUAUCUGUAUAUAUACUGAAACACAGGCAUUUCUUUUGUUUUCAUCAUAUAGUAAAUGUGUUUUUUUC